UAUAAAGGCAAAGAGAGUUUGUUCUCUCACU
rnacentral:piRNA from 1 species